UACGAAGGGUGCAAGCGUUGCUCGGAAUUAUUGGGCGUAAAGGGUAGGUAGGUGGUAAUAAAAGUCUGGGGUGAAAUCCCUGAGCUCAACUCAGGACGUGCCUUGGAAACUUUAUUACUAGAGUGCUGGAGAGGUCCGCAGAAUUCCCGGUGUAGCGGUGAAAUGCGUAGAUAUCGGAAGGAACAUCAGUGGCGAAAGCGACUUCCUGGACCAAUACUGACGCUCAUGUGCGAAAGCGUGGGGAGCAAACAGG
rnacentral:rRNA from 1 species